rnacentral:ribozyme from 1 species
UGCCCAGCAACUCCUAUCCCUACUUCCUCGCGGUACUGGCCGGGGUACGAGUAACCUUAAGUAACCGGUGGGAACUCUGGUCGUAUGCUGAUAGGGAAAG